CAGCCCUUAAUCAAAACUAGUGUAAAUAUCAUCAUAAUACAUAUAACAUGAUUUUCUGCACAAGCAAAACAACCAAUCGGUAAGCCUUCAUCUCUAAAAAUAUUCUUUGUUGCUUGAACCAUGCCAGUCAGUGUACUUUGAUGGUUCAUAUUAGCUUCUUUGAAGGAAAACUCAUGAAGUUGUUAGCUCCAGUUGAACCUACAAAGACAACAUGAAUAUAAGCAUACAUCACAGGACAAGCGAGUCCAACUCGCUUAAAGAGGGUACAACAUGAAUGUAUAGCAAACAGUCACAUAAAAUUUUAGUCUAUAGCAAGCAUAGAAGAAUGAAAAACAAUAAACUCAAAGCAUUGUUUCAGAACCUUAGAAGGUUGACUAACAUGUUUGUUUAAAGGUGCAAGCAGAAAUAAC
rnacentral:lncRNA from 1 species